rnacentral:rRNA from 1 species
UACGCAGGGGGCUAGCGUUGUUCGGAAUUACUGGGCGUAAAGCGCGCGUAGGCGGCUUUGUAAGUUAGAGGUGAAAGCCCGGGGCUCAACUCCGGAAUUGCCUUUAAGACUGCAUCGCUAGAAUUGUGGAGAGGUAAGUGGAAUUCCGAGUGUAGAGGUGAAAUUCGUAGAUAUUCGGAAGAACACCAGUGGCGAAGGCGACUUACUGGACACAUAUUGACGCUGAGGUGCGAAAGCGUGGGGAGCAAACAGG